UGUCGUGUGGCCGAGUGGUUAAGGCAUUGGACUAGCGAUCUGAAGGUUGUGAGUUCAAGCCUCAGCCAAGGCAG